UACAGGGAUAGCUCAGCUGGUAAAGCAGGAGACUCUUAAUCUCAGGGUCAUGGGUUCGAGCCCCGCACUGGGCAAAA